rnacentral:rRNA from 1 species
GGGUUGUGAGGUUAAGCGACUAAGCGUACACGGUGGAUGCCCUGGCAGUCAGAGGCGAUGAAGGGCGUGCUAAUCUGCGAUAAGCGCCGGUAAGGUGAUAUGAACCGUUAUAACCGGCGAUACCCGAAUGGGGAAACCCAGUGUGAUUCGUCACACUAUCAUUAACUGAAUCCAUAGGUUAAUGAGGCGAACCGGGGGAACUGAAACAUCUAAGUACCCCGAGGAAAAGAAAUCAACCGAGAUUCCCCCAGUAGCGGCGAGCGAACGGGGAGGAGCCCAGAGCCUGAAUCAGCAUGUGUGUUAGUGGAAGCGUCUGGAAAGGCGCGCGAUACAGGGUGACAGCCCCGUACACAAAAGCGCAUGUGCUGUGAGCUCGAUGAGUAGGGCGGGACACGUGGUAUCCUGUCUGAAUAUGGGGGGACCAUCCUCCAAGGCUAAAUACUCCUGACUGACCGAUAGUGAACCAGUACCGUGAGGGAAAGGCGAAAAGAACCCCGGCGAGGGGAGUGAAAAAGAACCUGAAACCGUGUACGUACAAGCAGUGGGAGCCCCACCACUAAGCCAGUGGUGAACUCCACAUCCGCAUCCUUUGCUGAGGAUACGGUUAACGGAGCGAAAGCGACGUUCAACCGCAAAACAAGCAGAGGGGGCUUAGUGGUGGGGUGACUGCGUACCUUUUGUAUAAUGGGUCAGCGACUUAUAUUCUGUAGCAAGGUUAACCGUAUAGGGGAGCCGGAGGGAAACCGAGUCUUAAUUGGGCGUUAAGUUGCAGGGUAUAGACCCGAAACCCGGUGAUCUAGCCAUGGGCAGGUUGAAGGUUGGGUAACACUAACUGGAGGACCGAACCGACUAAUGUUGAAAAAUUAGCGGAUGACCUGUGGCUGGGGGUGAAAGGCCAAUCAAACCGGGAGAUAGCUGGUUCUCCCCGAAAGCUAUUUAGGUAGCGCCUCGUGAAUUCAUCUCCGGGGGUAGAGCACUGUUUCGGCUAGGGGGCCAUCCCGGCUUACCAACCCGAUGCAAACUGCGAAUACCGGAGAAUGUUAUCACGGGAGACACACGGCGGGUGCUAACGUCCGUCGUGAAGAGGGAAACAACCCAGACCGCCAGCUAAGGUCCCAAAGUCAUGGUUAAGUGGGAAACGAUGUGGGAAGGCCCAGACAGCCAGGAUGUUGGCUUAGAAGCAGCCAUCAUUUAAAGAAAGCGUAAUAGCUCACUGGUCGAGUCGGCCUGCGCGGAAGAUGUAACGGGGCUAAACCAUGCACCGAAGCUGCGGCAGCGAACGUAUCACCCAAGACAACUUUACGGAGUUGACGAUUGACGGAGCGAAGCGACGUCAAAGCGUUCAUUAAAGUCGAGUUGGCUUAGGGAUACGUUCGUUGGGUAGGGGAGCGUUCUGUAAGCCUGUGAAGGUGUGUCGUGAGGCAUGCUGGAGGUAUCAGAAGUGCGAAUGCUGACAUAAGUAACGAUAAAGCGGGUGAAAAGCCCGCUCGCCGGAAGACCAAGGGUUCCUGUCCAACGUUAAUCGGGGCAGGGUGAGUCGACCCCUAAGGCGAGGCCGAAAGGCGUAGUCGAUGGGAAACGGGUUAAUAUUCCCGUACUUGGUGUUACUGCGAAGGGGGGACGGAGAAGGCUAUGUUGGCCGGGCGACGGUUGUCCCGGUUUAAGCGUGUAGGUGUGUGUUCCAGGUAAAUCCGGUUCACUUUAACACUGAGGCGUGACGACGAGGCACUACGGUGCUGAAGCAACAAAUGCCCUGCUUCCAGGAAAAGCCUCUAAGCAUCAGGUAACAUCAAAUCGUACCCCAAACCGACACAGGUGGUCAGGUAGAGAAUACCAAGGCGCUUGAGAGAACUCGGGUGAAGGAACUAGGCAAAAUGGUGCCGUAACUUCGGGAGAAGGCACGCUGACACGUAGGUGAAGUGAUUUACUCAUGGAGCUGAAGUCAGUCGAAGAUACCAGCUGGCUGCAACUGUUUAUUAAAAACACAGCACUGUGCAAACACGAAAGUGGACGUAUACGGUGUGACGCCUGCCCGGUGCCGGAAGGUUAAUUGAUGGGGUCAGCGCAAGCGAAGCUCCUGAUCGAAGCCCCGGUAAACGGCGGCCGUAACUAUAACGGUCCUAAGGUAGCGAAAUUCCUUGUCGGGUAAGUUCCGACCUGCACGAAUGGCGUAAUGAUGGCCAGGCUGUCUCCACCCGAGACUCAGUGAAAUUGAACUCGCUGUGAAGAUGCAGUGUACCCGCGGCAAGACGGAAAGACCCCGUGAACCUUUACUAUAGCUUGACACUGAACAUUGAGCCUUGAUGUGUAGGAUAGGUGGGAGGCUUUGAAGUGUGGACGCCAGUCUGCAUGGAGCCGACCUUGAAAUACCACCCUUUAAUGUUUGAUGUUCUAACGUGGACCCGUAAUCCGGGUUGCGGACAGUGUCUGGUGGGUAGUUUGACUGGGGCGGUCUCCUCCUAAAGAGUAACGGAGGAGCACGAAGGUUGGCUAAUCCUGGUCGGACAUCAGGAGGUUAGUGCAAUGGCAUAAGCCAGCUUGACUGCGAGCGUGACGGCGCGAGCAGGUGCGAAAGCAGGUCAUAGUGAUCCGGUGGUUCUGAAUGGAAGGGCCAUCGCUCAACGGAUAAAAGGUACUCCGGGGAUAACAGGCUGAUACCGCCCAAGAGUUCAUAUCGACGGCGGUGUUUGGCACCUCGAUGUCGGCUCAUCACAUCCUGGGGCUGAAGUAGGUCCCAAGGGUAUGGCUGUUCGCCAUUUAAAGUGGUACGCGAGCUGGGUUUAGAACGUCGUGAGACAGUUCGGUCCCUAUCUGCCGUGGGCGCUGGAGAACUGAGGGGGGCUGCUCCUAGUACGAGAGGACCGGAGUGGACGCAUCACUGGUGUUCGGGUUGUCAUGCCAAUGGCACUGCCCGGUAGCUAAAUGCGGAAGAGAUAAGUGCUGAAAGCAUCUAAGCACGAAACUUGCCCCGAGAUGAGUUCUCCCUGAGACUUAGAGUCUCCUGAAGGAACGUUGAAGACGACGACGUUGAUAGGCCGGGUGUGUAAGCGCAGCGAUGCGUUGAGCUAACCGGUACUAAUGAACCGUGAGGCUUAACCUUACAACGCCGAAG